UACGUAGGGUGCGAGCGUUGUCCGGAAUUAUUGGGCGUAAAGGGCUCGUAGGCGGUUUGUCGCGUCGGGAGUGAAAACCCAGGGCUUAACCCUGGGCUGGCUUCCGAUACGGGCAGACUAGAGGUAUGCAGGGGAGAACGGAAUUCCUGGUGUAGCGGUGAAAUGCGCAGAUAUCAGGAGGAACACCGGUGGCGAAGGCGGUUCUCUGGGCAUUACCUGACGCUGAGGCGCGAAAGCGUGGGGAGCGAACAGG
rnacentral:rRNA from 1 species